UGGGGAAUAUUGGACAAUGGGCGAAAGCCUGAUCCAGCCAUGCCGCGUGAGUGACGAAGGCCUUAGGGUUGUAAAGCUCUUUUGGCGGGGAAGAUAAUGACGGUACCCGCAGAAUAAGCUCCGGCUAACUUCGUGCCAGCAGCCGCGGUAAUACGAAGGGAGCUAGCGUUGUUCGGAAUCACUGGGCGUAAAGCGCACGUAGGCGGAUUGUUUAGUCAGGGGUGAAAUCCCGGAGCUCAACUUCGGAACUGCCUUUGAUACUGGCAAUCUCGAGUCCGAUAGAGGUGGGUGGAAUUCCUAGUGUAGAGGUGAAAUUCGUAGAUAUUAGGAAGAACACCAGUGGCGAAGGCGGCCAACUGGCUCGAUACUGACGCUGAGGUGCGAAAGCGUGGGGAGCAAACAGGAUUAGAUACCCCAGUAGUCCCUGAGCGGGCUGGCAAGGCGCAU
rnacentral:rRNA from 1 species